UGAUCCAGCAAUUCUGUGUGCACGAAGACGGUUUUCGGAUUGUAAAGUGCUUUCAGCAGGGAAGAAGGAAGUGACGGUACCUGCAGAAGAAGCGACGGCUAAAUACGUGCCAGCAGCCGCGGUAAUACGUAUGUCGCGAGCGUUAUCCGGAAUUAUUGGGCAUAAAGGGCAUCUAGGCGGCCUUUCAAGUCAGGGGUGAAAACCUGCGGCUCAACCGCAGGCCUGCCUUUGAAACUGAUAGGCUGGAGUACCGGAGAGGUGGACGGAACUGCACGAGUAGAGGUGAAAUUCGUAGAUAUGUGCAGGAAUGCCGAUGAUGAAGAUAGUUCACUGGACGGUAACUGACGCUGAAGUGCGAAAGCUAGGGGAGCAAACAGGAUUAGAUACCCUGGUAGUCCUAGCUGUAAACGAUGAUUACUGGGUGUGGGCAUGAAGAGUGUCUGUGCCGAAGCUAAUGCGAUAAGUAAUCCGCCUGGGGAGUACGACCGCAAGGUUGAAACUCAAAGGAAUUGACGGGGACCCGCACAAGCGGUGGAGCAUGUGGUUUAAUUCGACGCAACGCGAGGAACCUUACCAGAUCUUGACAUCCUGCGAAGGCCUGCGAGAGCAGGCUGUGCCUCCGGGAACGCAGAGACAGGUGGUGCAUGGCUGUCGACAGCUCGUGUCGUGAGAUGUUGGGUUAAGUCCCGCAACGAGCGCAACCCCUAUAGUUAGUUACCAUCAUUAAGUUGGGGACUCUAACUAGACUGCCUGCGAAGAGCAGGAGGAAGGUGGGGAUGACGUCAAGUCAUCAUGCCCCUUAUGAUCUGGGCUACACACGUGCUACAAUGGGCUGUACAGAGAGGAGCGAGGCGGUGACGCGGAGCGAAUCUUGAAAGCAGUUCGAAGUUCGGAUUGAAGUCUGCAACUCGACUUCAUGAAGUUGGAAUCGCUAGUAAUCGCAAAUCAGCAAUGUUGCGGUGAAUACGUUCUCGGGUCUUGUACACACCGCCCGUCACACCACGAGAGUUGUCUGCACCUGAAGCUGCCGGUCCAACCGCAAGGAGGAAAGCAUCUAAGGUGUGGAUAGUGAUUGGGGUGAAGUCGUAACAAGGUAUCCGUACCGGAAGGUGCGGAUG
rnacentral:rRNA from 1 species